UACGGAGGGGCUAGCGUUGUUCGGAAUUACUGGGCGUAAAGCGCGCGUAGGCGGCUUUGUAAGUUAGAGGUGAAAGCCCGGAGCUCAACUCCGGAAUUGCCUUUAAGACUGCAUCGCUAGAAUUGUGGAGAGGUGAGUGGAAUUCCGAGUGUAGAGGUGAAAUUCGUAGAUAUUCGGAAGAAAGCACCAGUGGCGAAGGCGACUCAC
rnacentral:rRNA from 1 species